GCCGCCUUCAGGACAACACCAUAUGCUUGUGGACAAUGAAUAACAGGAAAGCUGAUCAGUGCUUCCAAUCCUGCUUCUCUCAGAAUUCUCUUCAACAUUGCCAGCACUGGGAAUGCUGCAGAUGCAUCAGCUGGGCUGCCUGGCCUCUUCCAAUAACUCUCCAUACGGCUACCUUUAGCAAAUAAGUUAGAACCAUUCUUUUGGUCAUUUUGUACACCUACACUCCCAUUAGCAUCCUUGUUUUCACCUGAAUCAGAAGUCCUCAAUGAAGCUUCUGUAGUUUGCCUACAAUCGAG
rnacentral:misc_RNA from 1 species